GUACACGCUGUGACUAGCAUAUCAAUAAGCGGAGGAAAAGAAACUAACAAGGAUUCCCCUAGUAACGGCGAGUGAAGCGGGAAGAGCUCAAAUUUGAAAUCUUAAAGGGUUUCCCUUUACGAAUUGUAGUUUAAAGAAGUGUUUUCUGUUGAGGUUUUGGUAAAAGUUCUUUGGAAUAGGACAUCAUAGAGGGUGAGAAUCCCGUAUUUGACCUUUACUUUCAACUUUGUGAUACACUUUCAAAGAGUCGGAUUGUUUGGGAAUGCAGUCCAAAAUGGGUGGUAAAUUUCAUCUAAAGCUAAAUAUUGGCGAGAGACCGAUAGCGAACAAGUACCGUGAGGGAAAGAUGAAAAGAACUUUGAAAAGAGAGUUAAACAGUACGUGAAAUUGUCAAAAGGGAAGCGUUUGACACCAGUGUUGUUUUUCUGAAAAUCAAUUAAAGAACUGUUUAUGCUAAGCUGUUUAGACUUUAUCAGCUAACUGUUUAGUUUUGAGCUUUUCUUUAAUGCACUUUUCAGUUAACAAGUCAACAUCAAUUUCUUUUGCUGUAAAAAAGCUUGAGGAAGGUGGCUUGAGAUUCAUCUUAAGUGUUUAUAGCCUCUUGCCUAUGCAGUCGGAGAGAUUGAGGUCUGCAGCGUAGAUCCUUCGGGGCUAAAUGCAUUUGUGCUAAGUUAUAGCAUUUUAUAGACAACUUGUUGACUAUGAUUUGUCUUGUAGCUUACUCGCUUAUGUUAUUUUACCUACGCUUAGGAUGUUGAAGAUGUAGCACAUCAU
rnacentral:rRNA from 1 species